rnacentral:rRNA from 1 species
CGAACGGGUGAGUAACACGUGGGCAACCUGCCCAAAANAGGGGGAUAACACUUGGAAACAGGUGCUAAUACCGCAUAACCAUAGUUACCGCAUGGUAACUAUGUAAAAGGUGGCUAUGCUACCGCUUUUGGAUGGGCCCGCGGCGCAUUAGCUAGUUGGUGGGGUAAAGGCUUACCAAGGCAAUGAUGCGUAGCCGAACUGAGAGGUUGAUCGGCCACAUUGGGACUGAGACACGGCCCAAACUCCUACGGAAGGCAGCAG